rnacentral:rRNA from 1 species
GUGUCAGCCGCCGCGGUAAUACAGAGGUGCCAAGCGUUAGGCGGAAUCACUGGGCUUAAAGCGCGUGUAGGUGGGUCGUUAAGUGUCCGCGUGAAAUCCCACGGCUCAACCGUGGAACUGCCGGGCAUACUGGCGAUCUUGAGGCAUUCAGGGGCGAGCGGAACAAGUGGUGGAGCGGUGAAAUGCGUAGAUAUCACUUGGAACGCCAAUGGUGAAAACAGCUCGCUGGGAAUGAUCUGACACUGAGACGCGAAAGCCAGGGGAGCGAACGGGAUUAGAAACCCGUGUAGUCC